ACCUGUAGUUUUGUGAUAAAAGUAGACACUAAAUCUGUAGUUUUGUGAAAUAAGCUCUUAAAUCUGUAGUUUUGUGAUAAAUUGUGCAAAAUAACUGCAGUUUUGUGAAAUUUACUCAUUGGUUUAUUUUUGGGCUUUUAAUUUAUGGUACUCCUACCAUUCAGUCGAGCAAGCUAUUUCUUCAAUAAUGUACCAGUAGGCAUGCCACUGUGUCGCACCUAUUUUUGUAGCGUUGUUUUAGUAUGAUGAUAACAAUGGCGAUUUUGUAAAUUUUAUCAAGUGCCAGUAAGAACGUUUAUUAAAAUCAUAGCUGUUUCAUUGUUUCUGUUUUCCAGAUCCAUGCCAUCAAGAUUUGACUUUUUUUGCCAUUCUUGUCAGGUCCAUCAUGUCUCCAAGAGUACGUUCACACAAUUUUGCAGAUUAGCAAUGUGAUACAGCUAUGAUGGUCCAGAUCCAACUCCGCUGUACUUCAGCACGUCUUCCACAGAAGCGAAUGUAGUGGAAGGCAACAUGGAAUGCUGGAAUGAUCCUUGGUACUGUCAGGCACUAGAGACCGGCUCUCAAUUGUGGUUGCCCAUGUCUUGAGAGUGUGGGGCUAAAGAGAUGUCUUAAAGAGGGAGUAUUUUGUAAAGAACAAGCUUGUAAGUAAUUUAAAUGCUUUUUUUUUUUGCAGAAGAGACCACAAACUUGUAAGUAACUUGCUAUGCUACAGGCAAAAAUUUAGUUGUUCCCAUGCGUACCAAAGAAAAAAAAAGCAGGUACAGCAACUUUCUCAGGAGGGGAGCAGAAUUUCACUUGAUACUGGAUUUGUUAUUUGGUAGUAGUAGCAUGUUAUUUCUCGCUUUUCAUGUCCUUUUGUUAUUUUGAUGUUUGACUCACCGUUUGUUUUUGUUUUUCUCUGGUCACAGUUUCAAGACAUUUAAGUGGAUGAACACACUUCGGCAUCCGAACUAGAAUGCUUCCAAUAGGCUGUAGAAACAAGGAGCCGCUUCUGUACUCCUUAACUGUUUUUUGACACUGCCAGAGAUAACAGUGACUCCAGAAUUCCACAGCAAUUAGGAUGCUGAGUUUUAGCAUUUCGGUUCUGAGUUCAGGCAGCAAAAAAACUCAAAUUUUGAUUA